CCUACGGGAGGCUGCAGUGGGGAAUAUUGCACAAUGGAGGGAACUCUGAUGCAGCGACGCCGCGUGAGUGAAGAAGUAAUUCGUUAUGUAAAGCUCUAUCAGCCGGGAAGAAAGUGACGGUACCUGAAAAAGAAGCUCCGGCGAAAUACGUGCCAGCAGCCGCGGUAAUACGUAUGGAGCAAGCGUUAUCCGGAUUUACUGGGUGUAAAGGGAGAGUAGGUGGCAGAGCAAGUCCGAAGUGAAAACCCAAAGCUCAACUAUGGGAAUGCUUUAGAAACUGCUCAGCUAGAGUGCAGGAGAGGCAAGUGGAAUUCGUGGUGUAGCGGUGAAAUGCGUAGAUAUAUGGAAGAACACCAGUGGCGAAAGCGGCUCUCUGGUCUGUAACUGACGCUGAGGUUCGAAAGCGUGGGUAGCAAACAGGAUUAGAUACCCCUGUAGUC
rnacentral:rRNA from 1 species